rnacentral:rRNA from 1 species
AUUGAACGCUGGCGGCAGGCUUAACACAUGCAAGUCGAGCGGAGAUGAGGUGCUUGCACCUUAUCUUAGCGGCGGACGGGUGAGUAAUGCUUAGGAAUCUGCCUAUUAGUGGGGGACAACAUUCCGAAAGGAAUGCUAAUACCGCAUACGUCCUACGAGAGAAAGCAGGGGAUCUUCGGACCUUGCGCUAAUAGAUGAGCCUAAGUCGGAUUAGCUAGUUGGUGGGGUAAAGGCCUACCAAGGCGACGAUCUGUAGCGGGUCUGAGAGGAUGAUCCGCCACACUGGGACUGAGACACGGCCCAGACUCCUACGGGAGGCAGCAGUGGGGAAUAUUGGACAAUGGGGGGAACCCUGAUCCAGCCAUGCCGCGUGUGUGAAGAGGGCCUUAUGGUUGUAAAGCACUUUAAGCGAGGAGGGGGCUGCUGAGACUAAUACUCUUGGAUAGUGGACGUUACUCGCAGAAUAAGCACCGGCUAACUCUGUGCCAGCCGCCGCCGUAAUAC